GCCCGUCCCGCUCGCUGCAGCGCCGCCGAGCCCCGCCCCCGCCGCGGCUCCGCCUCCCGGGGGCGCGCGCGCACACCGGCCGAAGGGCUCUCGCGGCCCCGGUGGCGGUGGGCGUUUUUCGGCGGAGCCCUCUCCAGAACUUGAUGCCUGAACCAGGAAGAGCCUUUCACAAUCCCUUUUCCUAUUCAAACUGCAUUUACCUGAUUGCUAGCUAAUGGGUCUCCACAUCAGAUCACAACUGUUCACAGUGAACUCAGAACAUGAGAAGAGAAAAAGGAAGCUUCUCGUUCUCCCAAAUGGAUCUCUUAAGCGUGAAGCUGAUGGGAUGCCAGCAGAAUGUUAGCAGCUACAUCCACUGAUACUGCUUUGACUUUUGAGAAGUACAACUCCCGACUGAGUUCAGCUUGCCCUGCAACCACAAGGCUAUGGUUGAGAACUGCAAGGCAAAUCCAAUCCAAGGAGGAAGCAAUUCUUUCUGGCUGCUGUAAAAAUUCUUGACCAAGGAAAAUUAUUUCUUUAUUCUUACAUCUUCUUUAACAAGCUUGGACAACACAGUGGUCAACUUGGUGAUUGCCGGUGGAAUGCAAGCAAGCUCACCACAGUAACUGGAGUGAGUGAAGAAAGACUGUCAAAAAUAAAAAAGAUGGUCAACAAACCUUAUAAAUUCACCUUCCUCUCAAAGGCCAUUUGCUACUUCAGUUGCUACAGUUUGCCUUUGAAGCAAGAUAAACCACAGCUCUGUUGCAUCUCUGGGCCAUCCACAUCGCCAUGAAGAAAAUGUCACUUAUCACUGAAAGAGAGCAUUAAAUUAAGGCAAACAAUUUAUAACGGGGAAAUUUCUGUGUUGGAAUCCCCUUCUCUGAAUUGAACAGCACUAGUAAUUGAACAGUGACAUUCACCUGUGGAGACUUUUACAACUCAUACUCUUCAGAGAGAAAGAAGAUGUCUAAGAACAUACGUGAACACAGGAAAUGCCCCACUGGAUCAGACUGGGGAUCUUUUUUUUUUUUUUUCUGACAGUGACAAGAGACCCUGGCACACAUCAGGUACUUUGAGUGUACAUCAAAUGAGGCAGGCUACAGUCUCUCCUCCAGAAAUUCUCACUGAAGUUCUGGCUGCACUGUUUUCUCUCAACUUUUGAUUUAUACAGUCCCUAACCAAGGCCCUUCCAAGCUGCAGGGGCCUCCUCCUUGAUGUCUUCCAGGCCCUGUCCCUGCUGGUUAUUCACGUCACCAGAAGAAGGAAGCUUGAUGGGGGGGAUCCUGGUGACUGUGGGACCUGUGUCCAUUCCAUCAUCCUCUCACAUCUCCAGGCAGAGCAUCACUGGGCAGCAUCCACCUGCUCCUCGAUUAACCUUUAUGAAGUGUAGGUCAUGUCAGGGUUUGUCUGCGUCAUGCCCUCCUCCAGUUCCCAUCUGUGUAUUUUCAAUCCUGUAACUCUUCCCUUUCUUUCAUUUGUUGUUCAUUGUAGUUAAUUUUUUCCUCCUUGUUUUCCUUACCUUUAGCUCUCUUCCUCCCUAUGGGGGCUUCAAGAUUUUGCUAAUACAUACUUAAACAGAAAAGCAAAUGGAAACAGCAGGAGAAACAAUUUACAGAAUGCACACAAGCUCUGCCACCUUCUUCAGGCCUUCUUCCUUGUAUUCCGCUGGCUUCCAUGGCUGUUAGGAAGGUAAAUCCUUGCCUAGUCCUUUCGCUAUCCAUUUUUGGACCUAUUGUCCAUGAACUUCUCCAAUUCCUGUUUGAACCUCCUGUUGGGAUCUGCUUCCACAACAUCUUUUGGCAGCAAGUCCAGAAAUUCACUACCCACUGUGUAAAGUAAUGUGUUCUUUUUAUCUUUUAAACUAACUUCACCAAAUGAGCCAAACCCUGCAAUUUGAUGAAAAGUCAUAGAAUCACAGAGUGGUUUGGGUUGGAAGGGACCUCAAAGGUCAUCUAGUUCCACACCCCCUGCUGCAGGCAGGGACACCCUCCACUAGACCAGGUUGCUCAAAGCCCCAUCCAACCUGGCCUUGAACACUUCCAGGGAUGGGGCAUCCACAACUUCUCUGGGCAACCUCUUCCAGUGCCUCACCGCUCUCACAGGGAAGAUUUUCUUCUAAUCUAAAUCGGCCCUCUUUUAGUUUAAACCCAUUACCCCUUGUGCUAUCACUACAUGCCCUUGUAACCAGUCCCUCUCCAGCUUUCCUGUAGGCCCCUUUAGGUACUAGAAGGCUGCUAUAAGGUCUCCCUGGAGCCUUCUCUUCUCCAGGCUGAACCAACCCAACUCUCUCAGCCUGUCUUCAUAGGAGAGGUGCUCCAGCCCUCGGAUCAUCUUCCUGGCCCUCCUCUGGACUCACUCCAACAUGUCCAGGACUUGCUCCAACAGAUCCAUAUGGUUCCAUAUUCAUAUUUUCAGCCACCUUUAUUUCGUAAACCUUGAACGAGUCUCACCAUAGCACUCUCCUAGUGGAAAAGUUUCAUAUUUUUUAGUCUGAUCUCAUAAGGCAGCCACUGCCUUUAAUCCCUUUAAUGAUUUCAGUUGUCUUCUCUGCAUCUUCCUUAACUCUACCAUGUACUUUUCCAGAUAGCAAGACCAGAAAUAUAUAGAGCAUUCAAAAUGUGGAUACAAUAGAGUUACACUAGAGUUGAGGCAAAAUUAUUCUCUCUCGCUACUAUUUCAGAUGUUGCCAAACACCUUUCUUGCCUUUUGUUUGAAUGCUACUACAAAUUGACCCAGUGAUUUCACAGAGCUUCAGUCUCAAUAACUCUAACAUUUCUGUUCUGAGUUGUAUCUGGUCGUUAGAUCUGGCGAUACUAUGUGAUAAUCUGUGUGCUUCAGAGAAAGCCAACUCAUUUAGCCAAUUAAAUAGUGUUGUUAAUUUUUAGAAGUGAUGGUAACCUAUACAGGUUCAGAAUUUCAUUCUGAAUCCUGUGAAUGAUUACUUUUAUAAUUUCUUGUAUAAUGUAUGAAUAUGUCUAUUGGUCCCAGUGUUGUAGGUCUUCCAAAGGAACAGCUCUACUUUGAGCAAAGUGGAAUUCUUAUUUAAAUAAGCUCAAACAUAUUUUUGUUAUGAGGUAGAUGAGGUGAAAACACUGUAGAUACAGAUCCUAGAUAGGAAGACAGCAGCAGCAAAUUAGAGUUACCUUUGGAGCAGUACCUGAGUCCUGCAAUAGAAAAGUCAGCUUCUUCCUUUGUGGCUGGUGAUCUGCAUGCUGACUAGAUAAGGAGGAAGGGAAUGGGUGCUCCUUAAUCAUCAUUGUGAUCUUUGCAGGUUUUUAUUUCUUUUCUAAUUUCAUUUCUACUUUUUAGAUACACAAAUGCCAAAAGUGAACAGUUAGGAGGUUGUUAUCAGAGACUUUAUGACAUUGAGCUGUUUGUGUGUGUAUGUGUACAUAUACCCCUUGUAGGUGUACCCUUUGAUUUGAAGGCCUUGCACUAGAGUUCAAACAGAUACAGGCUGAAGAACGAAUUUUUUUCUUAUCCAUUUUACUUAGAGAAGUAAUGGCUUCCUAGUGAUCAGACGUUUUGCGUGUUACAUUUUGCUUGGCACAUUUGUUCUUGUCUAUUCAGUAUCCACAUGAAACAACAAUGUAGGGCACCUGUAAAGGCAGUCACACAAAUGGACAGCACACUAUUCUUUUAUAAGGCUCUUUGCUAUUUUAGUUUUUUAUUUUAAAAAUCCAGACAUUUUUAUUCAGUUUUCUAGCAAAUAAAAGAAGGUGCUACCUGUUGUUUUUUUUAAGGGGGAGGGUUGUAAAAUAUCCAAAGAAUAAGUAAAAUAUCCAUUUAAAAAUGAGCAAUUUGACCUUAUUCUGUUCUUAGUAAUGUUGAUUACUGGGGAGAAAAGGAUUGUUAAUGUGAAAGCUCCAUGUCCCUUUAAAGCACCUCUUGUGUUAUUAAAAGUAAACAUGUUUGAAGAAUCAACCUUUUGCUAACAAUCAGCAUACUCCUUUCCCUUUUUGUCUUCAAGUAGACCAGCUGACGCCAGCUCUGAUUUUUUUUUUUUUCCCCCAUGCAAGGAGGUCGUUACAGCAAAGAUGUAUUUUAACCCACCAACUUGGAAAAAUAAAACCAUCCUUUUUUCAAUUUCAGAUCAUGUUUACCGAAGCUUAUUUCUCCUGAUUGCUCUAUAUAAAGUCCUUUCUAAUAUUAUGAUUGAUGCCUAUAAAUACACAGGCAGUGAGAUGGCAAUCACCAAAGAAGGAGAAGAACUAUGAAUAAAUUUGGGCUUGAAAUUUAGAACAUUUCUAAUCAUCAGAAAAAUCAGGUUCUGGAACAGCUUUUCAGCAGAAGUCACGGUGGGAUGAACUCUUUUCAGAACAAAGAUGACAUCUGUGAUUUCUAGCUCUGCCAAUUUAAUCAGAAGGCUGUAAGACAACCUGUAGUCUGUCUUUCUUGUGCAGAACAGACAAAAAAACCCCUGUAUUCUACAGUCUGAGCAUCCUACUGUCUAUGUGGAGACAUAGCUACAGCUCUGUUUUAGGGAUUAAAAGGAGAAAAUCCACAUCUGCUCUGUUAUACCCUGCCUGUGCAGGGAGUGAGCUCUUACUGAGCUGUGGAGUUGCAUUAAAUAACUUCCAUGAAAGCAUCUGUGGAAGUUUUAGACAUGGCUGCUUUUCUGCUGGAGGGCACUGUCAUCCGAGCUGAGCCGGCAGAAAGGCUCAUACAAGUGUUUCUUAUUUGCUUCGGCAAAAGGUCAGCCAAGAUUAGCUCAAAAUACAUUAAGCAAUAGAUUAAACGACGCCAGCUGACUUUGUGCAGAAGUAGAUUAGGAGUACCCACAGAGACUGUUCAACAAGCUGAACUCCAGAGGCAGGUGAACUCUGAAAGAAAGGGCAGUGACAGCUUCUGCCAUUUCUGUGGUGAAUAUCUGACGCAGCCCAGUAGCUAUAUCUAUGCAACCAGUUAUUUCUGCUACCAUCUGAAUGAUAGUCUUUGCACAGUGAGAACCCUUGAAAUAUUAAGCUUGCAACAUUUCUGGACAGGUUGAAAAUACUUCCAGAUUUAUGCAUUCUUGAAUGUUCUCCCAUGGCACAUGGAGAAAUGCUUGAUAGAUGGCAGGAAAAAACAGACAAGAUGGACUUGUGGGUCCAACUCAAAAACUGCCACACUUCCUUUCAUACUGCCCUGAGGCCUGUUUCUUCUUGGCCUGUUUGGAUGCCUCUGUACCACACUGCUGGUCCUUGCAAGUGCUGAAAUGUUGGUGGAGGGGUGUUUGACGCCUUGACCAAUGAACGUCUCAAGGCUAGCGAAUCAACCACAAAAUUACCACACAGCUUUAGCAUGGCACUUGUGCUGACAUGUUUUAGCCCAGCGUAUUCUUAAGGUUGAUCAGCAGAUGCCUACAGGACCAGGAUAAGAAACAGGCCAUGUACCAAAUAAUUACGUCUGGUUUCCAGCAGUCAGUGACUUGUGAACUUCCUAAAUUAUUCUUCCUAGAUGUUACAUCCUGACUGCUGUGUUUAAUGGCUACACGUGGACUUUCACUUCAUUGUUGUUGAGGGGUUUUUUUACUACUUUUUUUAAUCCACUUAUGCUUUUGACCUCCAUAGCAUCUCAUGGCAAUGAGUUCCACAAUUUAAUUAUACAUUAAAAGAAGGACUGGCUUGCGGGACUGACAAUGCACAGAAGCUACGCAUUCCUCAAAGGCUGUUUGCCAUUUUCGUGCUCUCAUUGCAAAGUUCCAGCCUGCAGGGACACAUACAGAAGCUAGAAAUGGAAAAGAUCCAUUAUAUCAUAGUGUUAGCUCCAGCCUUAAUAGAAAAUGUUUCAGUCACAGCUUGACAUGAUAACAUCAGUGUACUUAACAGAUACAGCGGGUCUCAGAACAGUCUGCAGGGUGCGAAAACAAAACGACUUCUCUAGCCUCCAGGGUAGUUUUUUCCGCAACAGAAGGAACAGGGCAGGAUUUGUGUUAGAGCUACUGUGAGCAACUCUUUUGGAAUAGUUGAUAUUUUGAGUAGGCCUGUCAUUUUCCUGACAAUUGUAGGUCUAAAGGUAUUGCCUCGCCUUCAACAGUUGCUAGACCAAUACUGUGUGCAUUUGUUUGUAUAUGCAUUAUAGAGAUGACAUUGUCAUAUUACUAAAUCACAGUUUGUAAGUAUCUUCAUGGGCAAUAUGGUUGGUUUUCAGUACCAUAAACAUUGGUUAAAGAAGAGGCAAUAAAUGGUUGAAAGCUUGCCACAAACUGCCAGUCUAAAAGUAGAGCUCAGUCUUGAGCCACGAAGGUAGUAAAUCACUGGGGUGAUUUUCUAAGGAUUAUGCAGGAUUGUCUCUCACUUGAAAUUGUUUGAUCAAUAGUGGGUUUGGUUUUUUUCCCUAAAGCUCGUUUUCUAUUUUAAAGUAGUAGGAAUUUAGGGAAGCAUUGCAUCACUGUAUUUUAGAUCACAGUGGUGAUGUUUAAGAUUAUAUAAAGUAUGGAAAUAGGAUAAAGGAAGAACUCAGAAUACCCAUAACUAUUGAAAGACGUAAUUUGCUCUGGAAUAACUCAGAGGAAAUAAAUAUCAGUUAGUUUAAACAACUCCUUUGGUAAUCUACUGAGGGCUUUUCCUAACAAACACCACCACUACAGAUUUGUAUAAUACUUUUAUUUAGCGGUAAUCCAAAGUGGUAUACAGAUGGUAUAUGGGAUUAUUUCAUGGAUCUCUAAAAAGCAAUCUCUUCUCGAGUAGAAAAAUUGUAAUUAUUCUCUGUCAACAAUAAUACAUUGUAUGCUGUAUCAGCAGUGUAGUUUCUGGAUACCUGGGGUAUAAUUCCAUCUAUAGACAGAAUAUAUGACCUACUGUCUGUUUUCCUUUUUUGAGAAAAUGAUGAAACAAAUGUUGAAGAAAAUGUCUAACUAUAGCUGGAAAACCUUCCUCCAAACCAAUGCUCAGUAUCUGAUUAAGAUAUCAUGGAUUUUACAUGAACUCAUCUAUUUUUCUCUCUGAGAGGAAAAAAUACAUUACCUUUUUUUUUCUCUCAAGAAGUUUUAAUUCCUUCAGUCCUGCUAGUGGAUGAAAAGCUUUAUUUCCUUCUUUUUUUAAUGGAAAUUUCUAAGCCUUAUGAUUGUAGAGAAAAGAUUAAAAGUCUGCAGCAAAGAUUCAAUAAUUGUAAAUCAAAUAAACCCCAUGAACCCCAUAUUUCUUUUAAAAUUCCCUGAUGCUUGAGGGCAAUAAUAUGGAUCUUAGCAACUGGGACAAGACUCUUCUGUGCUUGGGGCUGAUAAUAUUGUAAUUCCUACCUCUUUGCUUGUUGUAGAUGAGAAAUAAUUUAGAUUGUGUUAUAGCCUCACUCUGCAUUCCAAGAAAGCUCCAACAAACUCAUACAGAUUAGGUGACUCCAAAGUGAAGAUGUUAUUUUUUUUCAAAUAUAUGUCCUUCAUUCUAAAGUACUCUUGAUUAAUGGGACAUUCAGUGGUAUGCUGAACAGGGAAACCAAGCUUUAAUAACAGGUAAAAUUUUGUAAAACUCAGUAAUUCAUCGCAUCAGCUGCCCAGGUUUAUUUUACCUAGAUAGACUUGAAAUGUCAUAUACAUUUUAAUGAACACACUAUAUACUAUUCCUAGGUUUUAAACCAGGUACAGGUUUAUAAUGUGUGUGAACGUACAUUGCAAGAAGAAGAAAUUGCCAGUUGGUACAUAGCUGAACACAAAAUUGGCAAAAUUCGGUGCAGGGCAGUUAUAUAAAACAGCUCAGUUCUAUCAGUCCAGAUCUCAAAGCUCACCUAAGGUUUUUGAUACAACUUCUAAUUAUUGUAAGUGGCUCUGAUUUAUGUACAUUUCUAACUGCAGCGGGCCAUCCAGACUGCACAUCCAUGUAAGCCACCUAGCAGGCAUAUGGGGACUGUGGAAUAAAUAGAUGCAAGCAGCUCUACAAUUGCUCAUUGGUUUUGGGGAACAAAUGGAUGCCUAGUGAACCAUCAGCAUCACCUCAGUAUGCUUUGGAAGUCUGUUCAAAGCUGCACUUCUCCAUUCUGCUGAGAAAGUGAACUCUCAUAGCUCAAAAUGGUAUAACUGUUUUAUUCAAUAUUCCUAUUUUGUAUUUUUUGAAUACUCCACAUUAAUUUUCAGUGUGAUUCUGUUCCAGGUGUUUGUGCACUACAAAAGGUUUUUGUUUCUAAGUACAUGUUCUGCUAUGGUAAUUAUCCCUCCUGCACUGUAAUUCAAGACUGAAAGUUGAUUUAUUCUCCAUGUGUUCUUUGUAGAAUUAAAUGUGUCACCAUUGUAACUGACUUACUUCUGACAAAGCUGAUCUAAAUAGUUGCAGAAAUGUCUCAUUGCCUUCGCAGUUAUGAGCCCAAUUAACUUGUCAACAUUUUCCAACGGUUAUUUACUACAGAUUUACCACAGCUCUAAUCAGCUAUAGAGGUGGGGAAAAGAAGGACGACUAGGGUAGAGAGUGUCUUUCCUUGCAGUUUUCUAGUGAAAAGUGUAACUGGAGCCUCAUUUCACAAGUAUUCUAGGAUAUGUAGGAUGUUGGAAAUGGUGAUGGGUCAGAAAAUCAUUAAGAGGUUUGUUCAGUGAUUGUGAUCUGACUCUGAAGCCUACUGAAAUUAACUUUUGUACUACUAAUUAUUUCACUCUUGGUUGUUUCAACAGACACAUUUAAAAAUGAGAUAUUAUCCCAUCUGUCUUAGCAUAUUUUAUAUGUCAUUUCACAUGCAAUUUGCUACCUAAAAGCCAGCUUCUGUUAUCUUUGUUCUUCACGUGCUGAGAAAACGUGAAAAUUCAGAAAAAAUCGAGAACAUUGGCUAUUGCUCUGAGAGCAUUCAUCCCUUUCAUAUUUUGCUGCUUUGUGUGUAUUCUGUAUCACCUAAACUAAAUUACUGUAGAUUCUCCUAGGAAAGUUUCACACUGUACGUUGUGUGAUUUAAAUAUAGCUGAGGACCACAAGGGACCUUGCUAGAGUGUGAGUCACUGUGCAUUGCACUUUCUGGAGCUGUUGAAAGGUGCAGAGGUCAGAAGCUGUUGAUCUAGCCUGACACCUUCAGAAUAAACAGUGUUCAGAAUGCCUUCGGUCUUCUCUUAUGGGCAUACAAGCGACGACUACUUUUGAGAGGGGACUGCCCUCACACUGUGGAUCUUUUUUGCCCACCCUGACCAUCACAGUGGCGAAGUGUGCCCUGCUGGCAGCGGGGCAGGAUGCCAGCGGUGGCUGCUGAAGGUUCUCAGCAGCCUCUUCCAGGCCCCCAGACCAUCACCGCCCGCUAGCGAUUCAACAAUACCAUCUGGUGCCGAGUUGGAAUUGCACAGUCCAUUCACUGUCAUGGUGCAUCAUAACCUGCGAUGUUCAAAAGGUUCAUGGCUCUUUGACAGAAGGCAUCUCUCUGUACAUAUCGUGUUCAAGAACCAAAUAGUGAUUGUCUGUCCAUAGAUAUUCAAGUUGCAAUUCUGUUUUUAAGAUACCUAAGGAAUACAUGUAAUCAAUAUAAAACUAAAGUUUCUUUUCUGAGAGGGCACUGUGGCUGAAUGGAAACCAUGGUAACUAGGAUGGCAUCUGCUGGUACCUUGUUCCUGAGUGAUAAAAAUGCACAUAGAGUAGGCUUUGUGCUUAGCAACAAAACCUAAUCAACCAAGUUUUCAAAUAGCCCUCCCUCCAGCCCUCCAUUGCAGCUGCCAGCCUUGUCCCAUGCAGUGUGUAUGCCCAGUCUUUGUACUUCAUGUUCAGUAAUCCAUCCUUUAGGCGUGCAAUAAGCAGCACAAAAUACACUUCACACAAAAGAAAACAAUUUAUUCUUGUUGGCUGUUGCUUUAGAAGAAUACACAACUCUGAUCUCCUUCCCUAUAGAGCUAUUGUGAAGAGUGACUCAUCCCUUGGCCAACAUGUUGGAUGCUCACAUUAAUUAGAAUAUGUGCAUCUAAAGAUUGUUGUAAACACUUGCUGAUAAUAUCAAAUUACUCCCUGGUAUACAAUAGGAAGUAGAAGCAAUUUUAAUACAUUUAAUACAUUAAGCUGUGCAUUUUAAGUCAUGUUAGGGCAACACACUGACAAAAAUUAAUUAGGGAAAUUCUCUAAUUAGCAUACAUUGGCUGCCACACAAAUCAUGUUGGCAUGAAAAAUGGGAAUAAUGCAAAUUGUACUCUACAGUGAUGAUUAAAUAUUUUCUAAACACUAAGCAAUAUUAUAAAAAUUUUUGUUAUCUACCCUGUGUGGCAAAUCUGGAUAAGGAUCCAAUUUAUUUAUAAUAAGAAGAGUGAAAAGAGAUAAACUAUUACUGCCUUCUAGUUAUUGAUGGUACACAUUAAAUAGGCUGACUUUCAUCUCAUAUGCAGUUACUUUCCUCGGUACAGGCAGGUGAAAUGCCCUUAUACUUACCUGGGAUCUAACUGACCCACACAACAGAGCCAGCAUCCGACAGCGCAAGUUGAUGAUCCAGAGACUUCACAAUCUCUCUCAGGAGAUUGUAAGAAAGAACAGGAAUAUUAUGUCUUUCCAAAUGUAGCUAAGCACACUUGAGCAAGCUUAGACUGAUCCCAAAAUCUAAGCUAUUACACUAAUACUAGAAUGAUAAUAUCGUGUGUGUUCAUGCGCGCGUCUUUCUCUGUUGUGCAGAAAUAAAUCGUAUUUGUCUAUAAGCAACAUAUCUUUUUUCUCUUUUUAAAGUUCACUGUUAUUUACUGACUCAGGAUGUAGCAUAACAUAGCAUAAUGCUAUAUCACUGUCUGUUAAAAAGAAGUCUCUGGGGUGUUAGACUAAUUGACUUUAUUAAGAUAAUCUAUAAGAGUGUUCUCACAUGGUCACGUGGUACUUGGAAAUCUUCACAGGGUGCCACUUCACACUGUCAUAGAAGAGUAUAUUUCAGUGUUUUUCAUCCCUCAGACAAAAAAAAAUGUGAACCACAGAAUCUUAACUGAACUGGCAUUAUUUCUGAUAAAUUUACAGAAGCCUCAGAACUAAUUGUGCAUAUUUUUGGUCAUUUCUGUUGGUGGAAACCUGACCAUUUAUGUAAAUAAAUACUCAAAUAUCUAAGUGUCAGGAUCAGGACUUGAGGGUCUAUCUCGUUCCAUUCCCUUGAUGAGGAUAACGGUGCCCCCCAGGCUCAGGUUCACUGGUUCUUCCACAGUCUGAUCUAUAACAGACUUGUUUAUAUCAUAAAGUUUGGUGCCUUAGAAAAUGAGUUACAACUACAAUCUUUUAAAUGUGCAAUAAAUGGAAACAAUUCCUUUCAUAAAGA